UACGUAGGGUGCGAGCGUUUGUCCGGAAUUAUUGGGCGUAAAGGGCUCGUAGGCGGUUUGUCGCGUCGGGAGUGAAAACUCAGGGCUUAACCCUGAGCCUGCUUCCGAUACGGGCAGACUAGAGGUAUGGCAGGGGAGAACGGAAUUCCUGGUGUAGCGGUGAAAAUGCGUAGAUAUCUGGAGGAACACCGGUGGCGAAGGCGGCAGUCCUGGACCAACACUGAC
rnacentral:rRNA from 1 species